rnacentral:rRNA from 1 species
UGCUGACAUAAGUAACGAUAAAGCGGGUGAAAAGCCCGCUCGCCGGAAGACCAAGGGUUCCUGUCCAACGUUAAUCGGGGCAGGGUGAGUCGACCCCUAAGGCGAGGCCGAAAGGCGUAGUCGAUGGGAAACGGGUUAAUAUUCCCGUACUUGGUGUUACUGCGAAGGGGGGACGGAGAAGGCUAUGUUGGCCGGGCGACGGUUGUCCCGGUUUAAGCGUGUAGGUGUGUGUUCCAGGUAAAUCCGGUUCACUUUAACACUGAGGCGUGACGACGAGGCACUACGGUGCUGAAGCAACAAAUGCCCUGCUUCCAGGAAAAGCCUCUAAGCAUCAGGUAACAUCAAAUCGUACCCCAAACCGACACAGGUGGUCAGGUAGAGAAUACCAAGGCGCUUGAGAGAACUCGGGUGAAGGAACUAGGCAAAAUGGUGCCGUAACUUCGGGAGAAGGCACGCUGACACGUAGGUGAAGUGAUUUACUCAUGGA